GCCUUCGUGGUGUAGUGGUCAGCACGUGUAUUCGAGAGGUCCGUGGUUCGAAUCCCUGCGAGGGCA
rnacentral:tRNA from 1 species